rnacentral:misc_RNA from 1 species
AACGCACGAGACCUGCGGACCUGCGGAAGGAUCAUUACAAGUGACCCCGGUCUAACCACCGGGAUGUUCAUAACCCUUUGUUGUCCGACUCUGUUGCCUCCGGGGCGACCCUGCCUUCGGGCGGGGGCUCCGGGUGGACACUUCAAACUCUUGCGUAACUUUGCAGUCUGAGUAAACUUAAUUAAUAAAUUAAAACUUUCAACAACGGAUCUCU